rnacentral:rRNA from 1 species
CGCGUAGGCGGGAAGAUAAGUCAGAUGUGGAAUCCCGGGGCUCAACCCCGGAACAGCAUUUGAAACUAUCUUUCUAGGGGAUAGGCGGAGAAAACGGAAUUCCACAAGUAGCGGUGAAAUGCGUAGAUAUGUGGAAGAACACCGGUGGCGAAGGCGGUUUUCUAGCUUAGACCUGACGCUGAGGCGCGAAAGCAAGGGGAUCAAACA